GACGAACGCUGGCGGCGUGCUUAACACAUGCAAGUCGAACGGAAAGGCCCUGCUUUUGUGGGGUGCUCGAGUGGCGAACGGGUGAGUAACACGUGAGUAACCUGCCCUUGACUUUGGGAUAACUUCAGGAAACUGGGGCUAAUACCGGAUAGGAGCUCCUGCUGCAUGGUGGGGGUUGGAAAGUUUCGGCGGUUGGGGAUGGACUCGCGGCUUAUCAGCUUGUUGGUGGGGUAGUGGCUUACCAAGGCUUUGACGGGUAGCCGGCCUGAGAGGGUGACCGGCCACAUUGGGACUGAGAUACGGCCCAGACUCCUACGGGAGGCAGCAGUGGGGAAUAUUGCACAAUGGGCGGAAGCCCAAUGCAGCAACGCCGCGUGCGGGAUGACGGCCUUCGGGUUGUAAACCGCUUUCGCCUGUGACGAAGCGUGAGUGACGGUAAUGGGUAAAGAAGCACCGGCUAACUACGUG
rnacentral:rRNA from 1 species